UAGUCAUAUGCUUGUCUCAAAAAUUAACCCAUGCAUGUCUAAUUAUAAGCAAUCUAUACGGUGAAACUGCAAAUGGCUCAUUAAAUCAUUUAUCGUUUAUUUGAUAGUACCUUACUACUUGAAUAACCGUGGUAAUUCUAGAGCUAAUACAUGCUAAAAACCCCAACUUCGGAAGGGGUGUAUUUAUUAAAUAAAAAACCAAUGCCCUUCGGGGCUCCUUGGUGAUUCAUAAUAACUUAACAAAUCGCAGGGCCUUGUGCCGGCAAUGGUUCAUUCAAAUUUCUGCCCUAUCAACUUUCGAUUGUAAGGUAGUGGCUUACAAUGGUUUCAACGGGUAACGGGAAAUUAGGGUUCUAUUCCGGAAAGGGAGCCUGAAAAACGGCUACCACAUCCAAGGAAGGCAGCAGGCGCGCAAAUUACCCAAUCCCGACACGGGGAGGUAGUGACAAUAAAUACUGAUACAGGGCUCUUUUGGGUCUUGUAAUUGGAAUGAGUACAAUUUAAAUCCCUUAACGAGGAACAAUU
rnacentral:rRNA from 1 species